UAUAGUCCUGAGAGUUGAACACUGGAUGACUGACAGCUGUCCUUCAUGACAACAGAAGACACAGAAAUCCUCCUCAUCAAAAACAUGACUUUGAUCUCCGUCCUCAUCUGGACUCUCCUCUGCUGCUGCUUCACAGAGUCCAGAGGCCAGGUCACAGUGACUCAGUCUGGAGCAGUGAGCUCUGCUCUGGGACGCUCCGCCACCAUCACAUGUAGGAUCAGUCAGAAUGUCUAUACUUGGAGCAGCUACCAUGCUUUGGCCUGGUACCAACAGAGAGAUGGAGAAACGCCUAAACUGCUCAUUUAUGCUGCUACCACUCGAGCAUCAGGGAUUCCAGGUCGUUUUACAGGCAGUGGAUCAAACUCUGACUUCACUCUGACCAUCAGUGGAGUCCAGACUGAAGAUGCAGCAGUUUACUACUGUCAGAGUGCUCAUUACAUCAACAGUCAGUGGUUGUUCACACAGUGAAAAAGCGUCGUACAAAAACCUCCCUCAGUCAGACUGAACAGAAACUGAACUGACUGCUGCAGCUGGAAGCUUCUGCAGAGACUGAUAC